rnacentral:rRNA from 1 species
GAUGAACGCUGGCGGCGUGCCUAAUACAUGCAAGUCGAGCGAACGGACGAGAAGCUUGCUUCUCUGAUGUUAGCGGCGGACGGGUGAGUAACACGUGGAUACCCUACCUAUAAUACUGGGAUAACUUCGAGAAACCGGAUCUAACACCGUAGAAUAUUUUGAACCGCAUGGUUCAAAAGUGAAAUUCGGUCUUGCGGUCACGUAUAGAUGGAUCCGGGCUUCAUUAGGUGGUUGUUGAGGUAACAGCUUACCAAGGGAACGAGGCAUAGACGAACUGAGAGGCGGAUCGGCCGCAUUAGAAGGGAGCCACGGACAAGACGCCUACGGGAGGCAGCAGUAGGGAAUGUUACGCAGUGGGCGAAAGCCUGACGCAGCAAGGCCGAGUGAGUGAUGACGGUCUUCGGAUCGUAAAAAUCUGUUAUUAGGGAAGAACAUAUGUGUAAGUAGAUGUGCCCAUAUUGACGGUAACUAAUAAGAAAGCAACGGCUAACUACGUG